rnacentral:rRNA from 2 species
GGACUACAGGGGUUUCUAAUCCUGUUUGCUCCCCACGCUUUCGCACCUCAGCGUCAGUGUUGGGCCAGAAAGCCGCCUUCGCCACUGAUGUUCCUCCAGAUAUCUACGCAUUUCACCGCUACACCUGGAAUUCCGCUUCCCUCUCCCACACUCGAGUCAGGCAGUCUUGAAUGCAAUUCCCAAGUUAAGCCCGGGGAUUUCACAUCCAACUUACCUAACCGCCUACGUGCGCUUUACGCCCAGUAAUUCCGAUUAACGCUCGCACCCUCUGUAUUACCGCGGCGGCUGGCAC